UGGGGAAUAUUGGACAAUGGGCGAAAGCCUGAUCCAGCCAUGCCGCGUGAGUGACGAAGGCCUUAGGGUUGUAAAACUCUUUCGUCGGGGACGAUAAUGACGGUACCCGAAGAAGAAGCUCCGGCUAACUUCGUGCCAGCAGCCGCGGUAAUACGAAGGGAGCUAGCGUUGUUCGGAAUCACUGGGCGUAAAGCGCACGUAGGCGGAUAGUUAAGUCAGGGGUGAAAUCCUGGGGCUCAACCCCAGAACUGCCUUUGAUACUGGCUGUCUCGAGGUCGAGAGAGGUUGGUGGAAUUCCUAGUGUAGAGGUGAAAUUCGUAGAUAUUAGGAAGAACACCAGUGGCGAAGGCGGCCAACUGGCUCGAUACUGACGCUGAGGUGCGAAAGCGUGGGGAGCAAACGGGAUUAGAUACCCUAGUAGUCCCUGAGCGGGCUGGCAAGGCGCAU
rnacentral:rRNA from 1 species